rnacentral:tRNA from 1 species
CCAUGGCUCAGUUGGUAGAGCGACGCAUUCGUAAUGCGUAGGUCAAGGGUUCGAGUCCCUUUGG